rnacentral:tRNA from 1 species
GAGGGUGUAGCUCAGUGAUAGAGUGUGUGCUUAGCGUGCAGGAGGUCCUGGGUUCAAACCCCAGAACCUCCA